UAGCUACUCUGGUAGCUAAGCUUAAACAAGCUAAUUCUCUAAUAUUGAGACAUAUUUCAGCUUAUUGCGUGUUGCCUUGCAACCAACGGUCGGAGCUGCGGACCUCCCGCCCUCCAAAGGCUGCUCCAAGCUGCCCCCCUAAGAGGAAACAGCAUGCUUCGUCGAGGGUCUAUCGAGGACCACCUGAAACGCGAAGACGGAAAUCGGUGGAGGAAAAAGUUGCACAGCAAGAGAAGAGAAGGGUUGAUUAAAAGGAGUUGAUGGGGGGGCAAACAGAGCCUGACUCUGCCUCCUUCACCUCCUCCUUCAGAUGUUUUACAACAUGACUGACAGCUGAAAGGAAACGGCAGAAAUGAUUCCUAAGGUCAUCUCAAGUCUAACUUAAUUUAAGGUGUCCGGCCUGUGGUACAGAUGUGCGCUCACAUCGAAAGAUUGCAGAGGAGACAUGCAGGGGUAUUGGAUUGAAUUCGGUUAUAAUGGCGAGGCUGCUUGCAGUAGUAAUGCUGUAGUAAUCCCUCCUGCACAUGGUUCCCUCGCUCCGAUAAACACCUCGCUCCCAUUGUUUCCUGGACUUCCUUGGUACUUUCGGGCCCCCGUGGUAUCACUUUGCCCAUGGCCUGUGGAGCUUGACAGGCUUCCUACUGUACAAGCUGGGCGGGACGGCGGGGAGGAGCGCUCUCUCACCACUCUCACCUGGGGCUAAUCACCAAUCUGGCACCAGUUAAAGCCUGCCGUCUCCUGUCGACGCAACACGACACACAUGCCAGCACGUUUGCUCAGCCUGCGCGCUGUACCCUGCCCAGCCUUCCACCGAACCUACCAGCAGCCCAGCCCCGAGCCUCACCUCAUGAGCCCCUGCAUGGGAUCACCUGGACACGAGACCCCCCUGAAUAUAUCCUUCCUUUUUGACUUCAAAACUGUCUGCCUCGGAUUUGCUUUUGGAUCCAGUUCUCAUCACCCCUAACUGUAAUGUACUGCAUGAAGCGGGGGCUAUAAACAUCUUUGUCAAUAUAGUUUUCCUACCGGAACUUACUCUGCUGAAACAUUAGCCUCAACAUUAAAAAACACAAACUUAUUCACAUACAGCGGUUUGUAUUAUAUCUUCUGAAAGAUUUCUCCUAAUAUUGUGUUUUUCAACUACCGUGUACCACAGAAUGUUGAAUCAAGUAAAGCAGUGGUCCCCAACCACCGGGCCGCGUGGGCUGUUUGGUACCGGGCCGCACCACAGAAAGCUUGUAUACAUAUUUUUUUUCUGAAAAAUGUUUGAUUUUGACAAUUGACCGGAUUUUCUCCUAAAUAUGUGCGGUCGUCCCUCUGACAUAUUUCCCACGUGUCACCCCCCCGUCGGUCGUUCCGCCCGCAACGACUACUACCC
ensembl:lncRNA